rnacentral:rRNA from 1 species
CGCGUAGGCGGCCAGGUAAGUCGGGUGUGAAAGGCCGGGGCUCAACCCCGAGCAUUGCAUCCGAUACUGCCCGGCUCGAGAGAGGUAGGGGCGAGUGGAAUUCCCGGUGUAGCGGUGGAAUGCGUAGAUAUCGGGAAGAACACCGGUGGCGAAGGCGGCUCGCUGGGCCUCAUCUGACGCUGAAGCGCGAAAGCGUGGGGAGCAAACA